rnacentral:rRNA from 1 species
UACGAGGGGGGCAAGCGUGUUCGGAAUUAUUGGGCGUAAAGGGUGCGUAGGCGGUUUUGUAAGUCUUGUGUGAAAUCUUCAGGCUCAACUUGAAGACUGCACGAGAAACUGCAGGGCUUGAGUGUGGGAGAGGUGAGUGGAAUCCUGGUGUAGCGGUGAAAUGCGUAGAUAUCAGGAGGAACACCUGUGGCGAAAGCGGCUCACUGGACCACAACUGACGCUGAUGCACGAAAGCUAGGGGAGCAAACAGG